CCUACGGGAGGCAGCAGUGAGGAAUAUUGUGCAAUGGGGGAAACCCUGACACAGCGACGCCGCGUGGGCGACGAAGGCCUUCGGGUCGUAAAGCCCUUUUGGCAGGGACGAGUGAGGACGGUACCUGUCGAAUAAGUCUCGGCUAACUACGUGCCAGCAGCCGCGGUAAU
rnacentral:rRNA from 1 species